UGGUGCUUGCACCAGAUGACGAGUGGCGCACGGGUGCGUAACGCGUAUACAAUCUGCCUCUUACAGGGGGAUAGCCUUUGGAAACGAAGACUAAUACCCCAUAGUAUAUAGAGAUCGCAUGGUUUUUAUAUUAAAGAUUUAUCGGUAAGAGAUGAGUAUGCGUCCUAUUAGCUAGAUGGUGUGGUAACGGCACACCAUGGCAACGAUAGGUAGGGGCCCUGAGAGGGGGAUCCCCCACACUGGUACUGAGACACGGACCAGACUCCUACGGGAGGCAGCAGUGAGGAAUAUUGGACAAUGGGCGGAAGCCUGAUCCAGCCAUGCCGCGUGCAGGAAGACUGCCCUAUGGGUUGUAAACUGCUUUUGUACGGGAAGAAACCCACCUACGUGUAGGUGGCUGACGGUACCGUAAGAAUAAGCAUCGGCUAACUCCGUGCCAGCAGCCGCGGUAAUACGGAGGAUGCAAGCGUUAUCCGGAAUCAUUGGGUUUAAAGGGUCCGUAGGUGGACCGAUAAGUCAGAGGUGAAAGCCUGCAGCUCAACUGUAGAACUGCCUUUGAUACUGUCGGUCUUGAAUUAUUGUGAAGUGGUUAGAAUAUGUAGUGUAGCGGUGAAAUGCAUAGAUAUUACAUAGAAUACCGAUUGCGAAGGCAGAUCACUAACAAUAUAUUGACACUGAUGGACGAAAGCGUGGGGAGCGAACGGGAUUAGAUACCCCGGUAGUCCACGCCGUAAACGAUGGUCACUAGCUGUUCGGACUUCGGUCUGAGUGGCUAAGCGAAAGUGAUAAGUGACCCACCUGGGGAGUACGUUCGCAAGAAUGAAACUCAAAGGAAUUGA
rnacentral:rRNA from 1 species